rnacentral:rRNA from 1 species
GACGAACGCUGGCGGCGUGCCUAAUACAUGCAAGUCGAACGCUUUUUCUUUCACUGGAGCUUGCUCCACCGAAAGAAAAAGAGUGGCGAACGGGUGAGUAACACGUGGGUAACCUGCCCAUCAGAAGGGGAUAACACUUGGAAACAGGUGCUAAUACCGUAUAACACUAUUUUCCGCAUGGAAGAAAGUUGAAAGGCGCUUUUGCGUCACUGAUGGAUGGACCCGCGGUGCAAUAGCUAGUUGGUGAGGUAACGGCUCACCAAGGCAACGAUGCAUAGCCGACCUGGGAGGGUGAUCGGCCACACUGGGACUGAGACACGGCCCAGACUCCUACGGGAGGCAGCAGUAGGGAAUCUUCGGCAAUGGACGAAAGUCUGACCGAGCAACGCCGCGUGAGUGAAGAAGGUUUUCGGAUCGUAAAACUCUGUUGUUAGAGAAGAACAAGGAUGAGAGUAAAACGUUCAUCCCUUGACGGUAUCUAACCAGAAAGCCACGGCUAACUACGUGCCAGCCGCCGCGGUAA